AGAGUUUGAUCCUGGCUCAGGACGAACGCUGGCGGCGUGCUUAACACAUGCAAGUCGAACGGUAAGGCCCUUCGGGGUACACGAGUGGCGAACGGGUGAGUAACACGUGGGUAAUCUGCCCUGCACAUCGGGAUAAGCCUGGGAAACUGGGUCUAAUACCGAAUAGGACCACAGGACACAUGUCCUGUGGUGGAAAGCUUUUGCGGUGUGGGAUGGGCCCGCGGCCUAUCAGCUUGUUGGUGGGGUGAUGGCCUACCAAGGCGACGACGGGUAGCCGGCCUGAGAGGGUGUCCGGCCACACUGGGACUGAGAUACGGCCCAGACUCCUACGGGAGGCAGCAGUGGGGAAUAUUGCACAAUGGGCGAAAGCCUGAUGCAGCGACGCCGCGUGGGGGAUGACGGCCUUCGGGUUGUAAACCUCUUUCACCAUCGACGAAGGUCCGGGUUUUCUCGGGCUGACGGUAGGUGGAGAAGAAGCACCGGCCAACUACGUGCCAGCAGCCGCGGUAAUACGUAGGGUGCGAGCGUUGUCCGGAAUUACUGGGCGUAAAGAGCUCGUAGGUGGUUUGUCGCGUUGUUCGUGAAAUCUCACGGCUUAACUGUGAGCGUGCGGGCGAUACGGGCAGACUUGAGUACUGCAGGGGAGACUGGAAUUCCUGGUGUAGCGGUGGAAUGCGCGGAUAUCAGGAGGAACACCGGUGGCGAAGGCGGGUCUCUGGGCAGUAACUGACGCUGAGGAGCGAAAGCGUGGGGAGCGAACAGGAUUAGAUACCCUGGUAGUCC
rnacentral:rRNA from 1 species